rnacentral:rRNA from 1 species
UACGUAGGGGGCAAGCGUUGUCCGGAUUUAUUGGGCGUAAAGAGCGUGUAGGCGGCUUUACAGGUCCGUUGUGAAAACUCGAGGCUCAACCUCGAGACGCCGGUGGAAACCGUAAAGCUAGAGUCCGGAAGAGGAGAGUGGAAUUCCUGGUGUAGCGGUGAAAUGCGCAGAUAUCAGGAGGAACACCCGUGGCGAAAGCGGCUCUCUGGGACGGUACUGACGCUGAGACGCGAAGCGUGGGAGCAAAGCAGGAUGAGAACC